AUAUUACUCCCUCCGUUCGGAAUUACUUGUCUCAGAAAUGGAUGUAUCUAGAACUAAAAUACGUCUAAAUACAUCCAUUUGCGAGACAAGUAAUUCCGAACAGAGGGAGUAGGAG
rnacentral:pre_miRNA from 1 species